rnacentral:rRNA from 1 species
UAAAACUCAAAGGACUUGACGGUACCCCACAUCCACCUAGAGGAGCCUGUCCUAUAAUCGAUAACCCCCGCUUCACCUUACCAUUUUUAGUCAAUCAGUCUGUAUACCUCCGUCGUCAGCUUACCACGUGAGCGAACCAUAGUAAGCUUAAUGCCAAUGCGCCAAUACGUCAGGUCAAGGUGCAACUAACAAAAUGUGAAAGAGAUGGGCUACACUCUCUAAUUUAGAAAACACGAAAAACUUUAUGAAAUCUAGUUAGAAGGCGGAUUUAGCAGUAAAAAGAAACUAGAGAGUUCUUUUUAAUACGGCACUGGGGUGUGUACACACCGCCCGUCACCCUCUUCAAGACCCCAAUUUCAUAGUACCUAACUAACUUUCUACCUUAAGAAGAGGUAAGUCGUAACAUGGUAAGUAUACCGGAAGGUGUGCUUGGAAA